rnacentral:rRNA from 1 species
CUACGGGCCGCUCCAGUGGGAAAUAUUGCACAAUGGAGGAAACUCUGAUGCAGCAACGCCGCGUGGAGGAUGACACUUUUCGGAGCGUAAACUCCUUUUAUAUAGGAAGAAGAUGACGGUACUAUAUGAAUAAGCGCCGGCUAACUCCGUGCCAGCAGCCGCGGUAAUACGGAGGGCGCAAGCGUUACUCGGAAUCACUGGGCGUAAAGAGCGUGUAGGCGGAUUAAAAAGUCAGAAGUGAAAUCCUAUAGCUUAACUAUAGAACUGCUUCUGAAACUCUUAAUCUAGAAUAUGGGAGAGGUAGAUGGAAUUUCUGGUGUAGGGGUAAAAUCCGUAGAGAUCAGAAGGAAUACCGAUUGCGAAGGCGAUCUACUAGAACAUUAUUGACGCUGAGACGCGAAAGCGUGGGGAGCAAACAGGAUUAGAUACCCUCGUAGUC